rnacentral:rRNA from 1 species
AUUGAACGCUGGCGGCAUGCCUUACACAUGCAAGUCGAACGGCAGCGGGGACUUCGGUCCGCCGGCGAGUGGCGAACGGGUGAGUAAUGUAUCGGAACGUACCAUUCAGUGGGGGAUAACUAUCCGAAAGGAUAGCUAAUACCGCAUAUUCUGUGAGUAGGAAAGCAGGGGAUCGCAAGACCUUGCGCUGAUUGAGCGGCCGAUAUCAGAUUAGCUAGUUGGUGAGGUAACGGCUCACCAAGGCUACGAUCUGUAGCGGGUCUGAGAGGAUGAUCCGCCACACUGGGACUGAGACACGGCCCAGACUCCUACGGGAGGCAGCAGUGGGGAAUUUUGGACAAUGGGCGCAAGCCUGAUCCAGCCAUGCCGCGUGAGUGAAGAAGGCCUUCGGGUUGUAAAGCUCUUUCGGCCGGGAAGAAAUCGCAUCAGCUAAUACCUGGUGUGGAUGACGGUACCGGAAUAAGAAGCACCGGCUAACUACGUGCCAGCCGCCGCUGUAAGAC